UCAGGCAAGCCUCAGUAAGGAUGUCAGUCCACAAGCUCAUCUGUCCAUCGACCUGGCACCUCUCAACCAGCUGCAGUGCAGACUAGAACCACUGGGCUAUCUGUCAUGGAGGCAGGAACCACAGGGUAAUCCGUGCAAGACUCCAGGACCACCCGGCCUGGCUCAGCAGGCAGUAGCAGUGGAUCCACUGGGGCUGGAACAGCAGGAGCAGGGCGCCAGACCACGGCUCCAUCAUCCCAGGGCUCUGGCACCACUGGACCAUCUUCUGUUGUCUCUCAGACUUCAAGCCAGUCUAAGGAAGGAUCUGAAUCCACAGGCUCAUCUGUCAUAGGAUCUGAUUCCACUUCAACCUCCUUGGUGUACCCAUGGGCACCACUGGAUUCUCUUCUACCCUGCUGGGCACUACUGCUUCCUCGGUGGGCAUUGUCACAACCACAAGAGUUUUUCCUCAGGGAUCCUCUGCUGACACAGCUCCAGCAGUGUGCCGUGGUCCACUGGGAGAAGAAAAAGUGCCUGGAGACACAUGGACGGCCAACUGCCACCAGUGCACCUGCAUGGCUGCCAGGUCUGUGGACUGCAGACCCCGGGAGUGCCCCGCCCCACCCACAUGUGGAGCCGGAGAGAAGGUGGUCACCUUCUCAUCUAGUGAU